rnacentral:rRNA from 1 species
AGAGUUUGAUCAUGGCUCAGAUUGAACGCUGGCGGCAGGCUUAACACAUGCAAGUCGAGCGGUAGCACAGAGAGCUUGCUCUCGGGUGACAAGCGGCGGGACGGGUGAGUAACGNCGUAGGAAUCUACCUAGUAGUGGGGGACAACAGUUGGAAACGACUGCUAAUACCGCAUACGCCCUAAGGGGGGAAAGCGGGGGAUCUUCGGACCUCGUGCUAUUAGAUGAGCCUNCGNGAGAUUAGCUAGUUGGUGAGGUAAAGGCUCACCAAGGCNACGAUCUCUAGCUGGUCNGAGAGGANGAUCANCCACACUGGGGACUGAGACACGGCCCAGACUCCCNCCGNAGNCAGCAGUGGGGAAUAUUGGACAAUGGGCGCAAGCCUGAUCCAGCCAUGCCGCGNGUUGGAAGAAGGCCUUCGGGU